GACGAACGCUGGCGGCGUGCUUAACACAUGCAAGUCGAACGGUGAAGCGCCUUCCUUUUUGGUGGGUGUGGAUGAGUGGCGAACGGGUGAGUAACACGUGAGUAACCUGCCCCCUUCUUCUGGAUAACCGCAUGAAAGUGUGGCUAAUACGGGAUAUUCUGGGUCUGUCGCAUGAUGGGUCUGGGAAAGAUAUUGUUUCGGUGGGGGAUGGGCUCGCGGCCUAUCAGCUUGUUGGUGGGGUGAUGGCCUACCAAGGCGGUGACGGGUAGCCGGCCUGAGAGGGUGGACGGUCACACUGGGACUGAGACACGGCCCAGACUCCUACGGGAGGCAGCAGUGGGGAAUAUUGCACAAUGGGCGCAAGCCUGAUGCAGCGACGCCGCGUGAGGGAUGGAGGCCUUCGGGUUGUGAACCUCUUUCGCCAGUGAAGCAGGCCUGCCUCGUUUGUGGGUGGGUUGACGGUAGCUGGGGAAGAAGCGCCGGCUAACUACGUG
rnacentral:rRNA from 1 species